AGGCCACAUGCACGGCCACCUCGAAUGGCACGGGGCGCAGCGUCAGCGCCGGCGUCCGCAAGCCAGAAGAAUGCCUUUUCUGGCCGCUGGCGGUCGGGCUGCCCUGCGGCUGCCUCCUCCUCUGCAUCCUGCUGGUGCUCCUGGUCUGCAGGAAGCGUCUCACCGGAGCUGAGAAAGCCAAGAAAACCAGGACGCGCAUAGCCGUGAGACACGUCCAAGAGACCGAGUAUGUGGCUGUGAAGCACCACGCCUGAAAGCCCUUCUGCCCUGCCCGCUCUGACAAAAAUUGCCCCGAGUUGUGGUUUCCGAGCAAGAAAAACACGAGCGAGAGAAAGGGAAACUGCAAGACUCUGCUCCGAUAUAACCUGGGGGUGGGGGGGAGACAGAGGGGGCACAAAUCCUUUUCAUAUACCGUCCUUUUCUUUUCUUGGCCAACAAGAACCUCCUGCAAAUUUGCACCAAGAAUUCCUUGCAAAUUUGCACGAGCCUCGCCGCAGCAUUCAAAGCCGAGAGGAUUUAAGUUAUUUUUCAAUAUUCACACGGCGGAUUGGAGCGUAUAUACCCGGCUGCAAAGCGGGCAGCCCUAUAAUUUCCCAGUGUACAGCUAAUUAUCCAUGGGUAGUUCCUAGUCUGUCUGGGAGUGCUUUUUGUAGAAAUUACAUUCAUCUUUUAUAAUCUCUAGAGCUACUUACUG